rnacentral:lncRNA from 1 species
GUGGGCAUGGCAACCGAUAAACAAUCUCUCGACGAGAGCCGUUGUUUUGAACUUACAUGUGAUCUACGCUCUCAUAGUAUUUUGCUGGAUAAUGCUUGCACCGUGAUGAUCCUGAAGUUAAACGUUCUAUGUUUAUAUCCUUUCAACCGUUGUUAAUUUUGCCUUAAUGUCUCCAUGAAGUGUAACCGUAUGUAGGGGUGUUGAAAAUUUUGCUCCUGAGAGAUGGACGAGUUGAAGAUUAAAAGCAUUCAUUUCACCGCCGAAAGUUUGCAAAUGAAAUAACCUCCAUAGAUGCAUAUUGCAAGUUCUACGCGGAGUUGCAGAAAACGGUGGCCUCUAAGUCCGUGACAUUAGACGAUUUCAAAAAAUGUCUGCUGGAAUCAUUGAGCUCAAGCGGUAUGGAGACCGAUCUACGCAACUCAGUAUUUCAUCUCAUGAGAUCAAUUCAUAAUUCACAGGACGUCUGUAGUUACAAAGAUAAGGAACCUCUGGAGUACUUAAAGAAAGCUCAGAUGCUUUGGGAGAAACGAAUACACAAGUCCCUGAACUCUAUGAGUGCUGACAUCAACAGUCUCUCAUUGGCACGGUUCCGGCUCGCGUCUGACAGAGAUGAGAUACUUGAAAAAUGGAAGGAGCUCAGCACCUACGAGAUAGGUAGGUGAGAAUCGUCACCUUUCGGCCAAAGUAUCACAAGCGCCAUGCAACAUUUAAACAUUUCCGCCGCCAUUUUAUUUUUUUACGGGGACAUUUUUCAACAAAGCUGCCCGAAACUUUCACCGAAUUUUCUUUGUGCUGCCGAUAAAAUUCAGUGAAAUUUUCAAACAGAUUCAAUCAACAAUUUCUUUUAAGCAAAUAAAAUGGCGGCGAAAAUUUUUAAACU